rnacentral:rRNA from 1 species
UGACCUCAAGUCAUGUGAGAGUACCCGCUGAACUUAAGCAUAUCAAUGAGCGGAGGAAAAGAAACUAACAAGGAUUCCCCUAGUAACGGCGAGUGAAGCGGGAAGAGUACAAAUUUAAAAUCUACCUGGUUUCCAGGUCGAGUUGUAAUUUGAAGAUACGUUUUUGACGUUUCUGGUUGGACUAAAUCCUUUGGGAUAAGGUAUCAUGGAGGGUGAGAAUCCCGUAUAUACCAACCUAGGGAUGUUAUUUAAUACGUUUCUAAGAGUCGAGUUGUUUGGAAAUGCAGCUCUAAAUGGGUGGUGAAUUUCACCUAAUGCUAAAUAUAAACGAGAGACCGAUAGUGAAUAAGUACAGUGAUGGAAAGAUGAAAAGAACUUUGAAAAGAGAGUUAAAUAGUAUGUGAAAUUGUUGAAAGGGAAACGAU